rnacentral:tRNA from 2 species
AAGGCCUUAAGUUAAAAGCAAACUAAUAACCUUCAAAGCUAUAAAUAAAGGGCUCCCUUUAGGCCUUG